AGCUGUGAGCUCUAAAUCCACGCAGAUCUUUUGCAAGAUUCAUGUGCAGGGGCGUCAAGGGGGAAUCAGUAUUCCGGAGGACGAGGAGAAAUGGGUCGUCAAGAGAGACACGCUCGGUUUUAUUGCCGAGGCUUCUAAAAAGCAAUCAUCUCUCUGGAGGAAUUGAUAUCAGCAUGGGCCAAAUGGCGUCUCUUUCUUUGACAUUUUGUCACAAGUUUGAUGCAACAGCCAUUUCCAAGUUCCCCACCAGGCACAGCAUUGCUGUUUCCCCACAAGGAUUAAGGCAGUUGCGGUCAAAAUCCAUCUCAAUUCCCUGCCACUACUCAGCCUAGUGCAAGACAUGAUGAUGAUGAUGAUGAUGAUGACACUGGCUAUUUUGUACGGCGGGGCAAAUGAGGUUAUGCCCCAUUAUAUCGAGCAGAUGACACAGGUGAGGAAUAAACUACCUUAUCCUUAAACAGAUUUUUUGUAUCUGCAUUUAAUGGGCUAAAAUUCACAUUUUCCACCUUUUCUCAACAUUUUAUGGAUAACGGUUGUGUAUUUCUACUCCGGUAUCUCUUGGGAAAGCUCCAGACUAACCUAUACAUCUCAAUGUUGCUGUUGUGUGUUUAGUGUGAGUCAGUCUUAAAACAUAUUCUUCCUAGCAACAAGUGAUCAUGCCAAUUUGCGCAAAACAUUUUUCUGGGUUGUAGCUUAACUGUAAGUAGCCAAAUUUGAAUCAUAGACCGAU